rnacentral:rRNA from 1 species
UACGUAGGGUGCGAGCGUUGUCCGGAAUUAUUGGGCGUAAAGAGCGUGUAGGCGGCCAGAUAGGUCUGCUGUGAAAACUCGAGGCUCAACCUCGAGAUGUCGGCGGAAACCAUUUGGCUAGAGUCCGGAAGAGGAGAGUGGAAUUCCUGGUGUAGCGGUGAAGUGCGCAGAUAUCAGGAAGAACACCAAUGGCGAAGGCAGCUCUCUGGGGACGGUACUGGACGCUGAGACGCGAAAGCGUGGGGAGCAAACAGG